ensembl:lncRNA
UUCCUGUUGGGUUUCGGAUAUUGCUCCAAGAGUCUUUUUUGUAGGUACUGAUGCUUUACAUAUGUGUGCCAAUUUUCGUGCAUGUACGUGAAACACAGCUCGAGGGCUGUUGAUUUUUUUACGGUAGGUGGCGCUGUUGAGCCAUUUUGCCACACCCUCUUCUGAAACCUAUAUCAGACGUAAAUUUUCACCAGGUCUGACGCGUGUGCAAAGUUUCAUGACUUUUCGAGCAUGUUUAGGCCCUCAAAAAUGCGAUUCAUUUUGGAGAAGAAGAAGAAGAAGAAGAAGAAGAAGAAGAAGAAUAAUAAUAAUAAUAAACAAAGCAGAUACAAGAGGGUCCUCACACCAUCGGU